AAACAAUACAAUUAGGCUUAUUCUUGUUCAACAUCAUGGUUCCAAAUGGAAACUCUUAAAAGUUUUUAUAUUCUUGUAGUGAUGAUGAUGUUAUGAUUUCCUUGACUUUGAAAUCCGAUGCUGAUUUAUUUUUUAAAUCCCAGUUGAUAAUUCUCACAGUCUUAAAAGAAACUACUUGAAAGGCUGGAGUGGCAGGAGAGGGGAGCAGGAAAAGAAAAAUUAAGUGCCUGCUUCAAACCAAAUACAGUAUACUCAGUGGACUGAUGGGGGAGCCAUAAAGCCUUGUAAAUUAAAAUAUGCUGAACAUCCUGGUGUUUUGUCAGUAUGUAUUCAUGUGUUUCUUUUCUCCUAAAAUCCCAGAGGAAACCACCUGGUAUGCAUCAUCAUAAUAUCAAUGUGAAAUGAAGGCAAAUUAAAUGAAUUUGCACUUCAAUCAAACAUAUGUUUUCUUUAUUUCAAAUAAAUCAACUAAAGUUGUAUUUUA